AGUGAACGCUGGCGGUAGGCCUAACACAUGCCAGUCGAACGGCAGCACAGUAAGAGCUUGCUCUUACGGGUGGCGAGUGGCGGACGGGUGAGGAAUACAUCGGAAUCUACUUUUUCGUGGGGGAUAACGUAGGGAAACUUACGCUAAUACCGCAUACGACCUACGGGUGAAAGCAGGGGAUCUUCGGACCUUGCGCGAUUGAAUGAGCCGAUGUCGGAUUAGCUAGUUGGCGGGGUAAAGGCCCACCAAGGCGACGAUCCGUAGCUGGUCUGAGAGGAUGAUCGGCCACACUGGAACUGGAACACGGUCCAGACUCCUACGGGAGGCAGCAGUGGGGAAUAUUGGACAGUGGGCGGAAGCAUGAUCCAGCCAUACCGCGUGGGUGAAGGAGGCCUUCGGGUUGUAAAGCCCUUUUGUUGGGAAAGAAAAGCAGCAGGUUAAUACCCCGCUGUUCUGACGGUACCCAAAGAAUAAGCACCGGCUAACUUCGUG
rnacentral:rRNA from 1 species